rnacentral:lncRNA from 1 species
GCAGCUGGGACGAAAGACCAAGAGAAGAAGGCAAACCCUGGCGCGAGACCCAAAACCUCUCCUCCAAACGUCACCUCGGCCGCUCAGAGUCCAGGCUCCAAGGUCCAGAGAGCCAAGUCCGAUGGCACCGCGGCUCAGGCCACCUCCACGUCGGGCAGCGCCUCGCCGGAGAACGGAGCCAGCAGCCCCAGGAACGACGCCCAGACUGUGCCAGGUGCAAAACCGAAACAGCAGGUCAAGACCGUGAACAAGUCCGCGCCAACAAAGCUCCUCAGAAAACGGAGCCAACCAAGACUAGCAGUUCAACAAACAAGCCCAGUGCCAGAGAGAACAGUAAAGCGAAAACAAUGGGAGCAGAGAAAACGACCUCUGCCCCGACGAGAGCGGACACCAAAGGAAGAGCAGCAGCGGACACCCAUGGUUAGAUAUUUAACCUAUAUACAUUUUUCUAUUUUAAUUUUUGCAACAGGUAAACUCACAAAGUCAAGAUAAUAUUUAAUUAAAACGUUAUGCAGAAAUGCAAUCUAAUAGUGCAGGACUUAUUAUGCAUGGUCCACCCAUUUUCUUCCGCUUUAUCCGGGGCCGGGUCGUGGAGGCAGCAGUCUGAGCAGAGAUGCCCAGACUUCCCUCUCCACACUCACUUCCUCCAGCUUAUACUGUAGAGCAGUGGUUCCCAAAGUGGGGUCCGGGACCCCCUGGGGGGCCUUGGAGACACUAUAGGGGGGCCCCAAAAACCUGGUCUAGAAAACAAG